rnacentral:tRNA from 1 species
AAAAAUUUAGUUAAUCUAUAACAUUAGUUUGUCAAACUAAAAUAAUUUCUUAGAAAUAAUUUUUA